UACGUAAGGUGCAAGCGUUGUCCGGAAUUAUUGGGCGUAAAGAGCGUGUAGGCGGCCCGAUUAGUCCGCUGUGAAAGUCCAGGGCUCAACCCUGGAAUGCCGGUGGAUACUGUCGGGCUAGAGUCCGGAAGGGGCGAGUGGAAUUCCUGGUGUGGCGGUGAAAUGCGCAGAUAUCAGGAGGAACACCAAUGGCGAAGGCAGCUCGCUGGGACGGUACUGACGCUGAGACGCGAAAGCGUGGGGAGCAAACAGG
rnacentral:rRNA from 1 species